rnacentral:rRNA from 1 species
UCAGGCCUAACACAUGCAAGUCGAACGGUAACAGGUCUUCGGAUGCUGACGAGUGGCGAACGGGUGAGUAAUACAUCGGAACGUGCCCAGUAAUGGGGGAUAGCCCGGCGAAAGCCGGAUUAAUACCGCAUACGCCCUGAGGGGGAAAGUGGGGGACCGCAAGGCCUCACGUUAUUGGAGCGGCCGAUGGCUGAUUAGCUAGUUGGUAGGGUAAAGGCCUACCAAGGCGACGAUCAGUAGCUGGUCUGAGAGGACGAUCAGCCACACUGGGACUGAGACACGGCCCAGACUCCUACGGGAGGCAGCAGUGGGGAAUUUUGGACAAUGGGGGAAACCCUGAUCCAGCAAUGCCGCGUGUGCGAAGAAGGCCUUCGGGUUGUAAAGCACAUUGUCAGGGAAGAAAUCCUUUGGGCUAAUACCUAGGGGGAUGAC